AUUGAACGCUGGCGGCAGGCCUAACACAUGCAAGUCGAACGAGUGGCGCACGGGUGAGAAAUGUGUGGGAAAGCGCCUGAGGGGGGGGGAUCACUACUGGACAGGGUCUCUAACAGCGUAUACCCUCAGAUGCGCCCAGAUGGGAUUAGCUUGGUGGUGGGGUAACGGCACACCAAGGCGACGCUCCCUAGCUGGUCUGAGAGGAUGACCAGCCACACUGGAACUGAGACACGGUCCAGACUCCUACGGGAGGCAGCAGUGGGGAAUAUUGCACAAUGGGCGCAAGCCUGAUGCAGCCAUGCCGCGUGUAUGAAGAAGGCCUUCGGGUUGUAAAGUACUUUCAGCGGGGAGGCGUUACCCGCAGAAGAAGCACCGGCUAACUCCGUGCCAGCAGCCGCGGUAAUAC
rnacentral:rRNA from 1 species